rnacentral:rRNA from 1 species
CAAAGGUAGCGUAAUCACUUGUCUUAUAAAUGAAGACCUGUAUGAAUGGCUAAAUGAGUAUUUUACUGUCUCCUUUAACUAAUCAGUGAAACUGAUCUUUCAGUACAAAAGCUGAAAUAAUUUAAUAAGACGAGAAGACCCUGUGGAGCUUCAAACUUUUAACAGAGUAACUACAAAAUAUACUUAUGAUAAAAAGUUUUUAGUUGGGGCGACUUUGGAGCAAAACUUAGCCUCCAAGAAAAGGCAUCGCCUAACCCAGGCUUACAGGCCAAACCACAUAGACCCAGUAUAUUAUACUGAUCAACGAACCAAGUUACCCCAGGGAUAACAGCGCUAUCUUCUUCAAGAGUUCGUAUCGACAAGAAGGUUUACGACCUCGAUGUUGGAUCAGGACACCCAAAUGGUGUAGCCGCUAUUAAAGGUUCGUUUGUUCAACGAUUAAUAGU